AUUGAACGCUGGCGGCAGGCCUAACACAUGCAAGUCGAGCGGAUGAGAGGAGCUUGCUUCUCGAUUCAGCGGCGGACGGGUGAGUAACGCCUAGGAAUCUGCCUGGUAGUGGGGGACAACGUUUCGAAAGGAACGCUAAUACCGCAUACGUCUUACGGGAGAAAGCAGGGGACCUUCGGGCCUUGCGCUAUCAGAUGAGCCUAGGUCGGAUUAGCUAGUUGGUGAGGUAAUGGCUCACCAAGGCGACGAUCCGUAACUGGUCUGAGAGGAUGAUCAGUCACACUGGAACUGAGACACGGUCCAGACUCCUACGGGAGGCAGCAGUGGGGAAUAUUGGACAAUGGGCGAAAGCCUGAUCCAGCCAUGCCGCGUGUGUGAAGAAGGUCUUCGGAUUGUAAAGCACUUUAAGUUGGGAGGAAGGGUUGUAGAUUAAUACUCUGCAAUUUUGACGUUACCGACAGAAUAAGCACCGGCUAACUCUGUGCCAGCCGCCGCAGUAAUAC
rnacentral:rRNA from 1 species